UACGAAGGGGGCUAGCGUUGCUCGGAAUCACUGGGCGUAAAGCGCACGUAGGCGGACUCUUAAGUCGGUGGUGAAAUCCUGGAGCUCAACUCCAGAACUGCCUUCGAUACUGAGAGUCUCGAGUCCGGGAGAGGUGAGUGGAACUGCGAGUGUAGAGGUGAAAUUCGUAGAUAUUCGCAAGAACACCAGUGGCGAAGGCGGCUCACUGGCCCGGUACUGACGCUGAGAAGCGAAAGCAUGGGGAGCGAACAGG
rnacentral:rRNA from 1 species